rnacentral:lncRNA from 1 species
GGAACAUUAGGAGGGAAGAAAGAACGUGGUCAUCUGAAGUGUAAGUAAAUACAGACUUUUCUUCUCUUCCUGAGUUUUCUAAAUUAUGACCAAUGGUUAGAGUAAAAAUUAUAACACUAAUCUGGUUCUAAAUGUAUGUAGAGGAAAUAUUUAAGACAAUUAUAAUACAAACAGAAGAGUAUAAGAAAACAUAAGGGAGAUAAGACUCUAUACUUGAACUGGUAAAAUGACAACACCAGUAGACUAUGAAGAUAGAUAGAUGAUUGACAGAUAAAUAGAUAGAGAGAGAGAGAGAGAAUAAACAUCAGAUCUGAUUCUGAUGACUUUCUAUUUUCUUACAUUUGUUUCAGUCACGUUUGCAAUUGGUUGCUAAGCAUUUCUAUGAUGACUGCUUUAAAAACAUUGUCAGCUAAUUCUAACAUCUCUAUCAUCUUUGCAUUGGCACAUAUUGAUUGUCUUGUUUCAUUCGGUUUCAGAUCUUCCUGGUUCUUUGUGUGAGUUAUUUUCAAUCAAAACCUGGACAUUUUAGGUAUUAUGUUAUGAAACUCUGGAUCUCAUUUAAACUUUUUUUUUUUUUUUUUGAGAUGCAGUCUUGCUCUGUCACUCAGGCUGGAGUGCAGUGGCAUGAUCAUAGCUCACUGUAAUCUUGAACUCCUGGGCCCAAGGGAUCCUCCUACAAGCCUCCUGAGUAGCUAGGACUACAGGUACCACCAUACCUGGCUUUUAAAAAACUUUUUUUUUUUUUUGAGAUGGAGUCUUGCUCUGUCACCCAAGCUGGAGUGCAGUGGUGUGAUCUCAGCUCACUGCAACCUCCACCUCCCGGGUUCCAGUGAUUCUCCUGCCUCAGCCUCCCGAGUAGCCUGGAUUACAGGCACGCAUCACCAUGCCCAGCUUAUUUUUGUAUUUUUAGUAGAGAUGGGGUUUCCCCAUGUUGGCCAGGCUGGUCUCGAACUACUGACCUCAGGUGAUCCACCCGCCUCGUCCUCCCAAAGUGCUGGGAUUACAGGUGUGAGCCACUGUGCCUGGCCUAAAAAAAUUUUUUUUAUAGGGACAGUGUCUUGCUAUGUUGCCCAGGCCGGUCUCGAACUCCUGGCCUCAAACAAUCUUCCCAUCUUGGCCUCCCAUACAUCUUCCAUUCAUUUUAUAUGGUGCUACUUGACACCACUACAGCAGAGUGGGGGUGGGAGUUCCUCCUCAUUAAUGCCAGGAGGGGUGGAAGUUCUCCAGUCAGCCUCUGAUGAAAGCUGAUGGGCAGGGUGGGAGACUUCUCUUAUUUCUGGGUGGAAGUGGGACUUGUGGUUCCCCACCUGCUCUGCUGAUACCUUCCUGGCUGGGAGAGGUAGAAGUGCCUCACUGGUGUUCCCCAUGUGUCUUCCUUUGACAUCAUGGGAAAGUGUUCCCAGGCAGUGGCGACAGUCCCAACGCUCCUUGCUGCCUCCCCUGACAGCACCCGAUGGGGGAGAAGGAGGAGCACAUCGUUACUGUCAGAUGGGAGUAGAAAUGCACACUCCUCAUGUGAUGGCCACUUGAACCACAGGGAGAGGCCUCAUGACCACCUGAUGGGAAUGGAAGUCCCUACUCUCUAUUCCGCCUUCUCUGAUGCCACCUCAUGGCAUUGUGGGAACAUCCAUGAGGAAAUGCAGGUUGCACACUUGGCUCAGGGCCCACCAUAUGCUGGGGGCUGAGUCCAUGCAUGGUAGCCAUGAUGGUUUGAGCUAAUGCCAGAAGCCCUGGUGUGAUGACCAGUCCUGCCAUUUCCUGGCUUUGUGAUCUUGGUCAAGUUAUGCCACCUCUUUGGGCCUCUGUUUCCUCAUCUCUUCAGUGGAGAGAAAUGAUGCUCAUCUGAGAUUAUGUCUGCGAGAGCACCUGCUACUGAUCCUUAAUACAGAUAAAUACCACAGUUGAGCUGGUACUUAUUAAGCAUUUACCGCCCACCAGGCCAGUGAUACCAACUUCCCAGGCAUUAACUCAGUGAAAUGGCUUUUUUAAUCCCCAUUUUACAGAGGAAGAAACUGAGGCUCAGAGAGGUAAAGCCUCUUGCUCAUGGCCACACUGCUGGCCCCACUGCACUGAGUCUACUUCUUGAUAGAGUGUGCCACCUUCUCCGUGUCUAAGAAUAAGAGGAACCAUUAAAAGUUUAAGAUCUGAUUCACCAGAGAAAACCUCUGGCUCAGGGAUCUGCACAGCUCCUACUCUGAUUAAAUAUAAAAAAAUCGGCCAGGCAGCCAGGUGCAGUGUCUCACAUCUGUAAUCCCAGCACUUUGGGAGGCCUAGGCAGGUAGAUCACGAGGUCAAGAGGUCAAGACCAUCCUGGCCAACAUGGUGAAACCCUGUCUCUACUAAAAAUACAAAAAAAAAAAAAUUAGUUGGGCAUGGUGGCACGUACCUGAAAUCCCAACUACUCGGGAGGCUGAGGCAGGAGAAUCGCUUGAACCUGGGAGGUGGAGGUUGCAGUGAGCUGAGAUUGCGCCACUGCACUCCAGCCUAGAGACAGAUCAAAAAAAAAAAAAAAAAAAAUCGGCCAGUUGCGGUGGCUCACGCCUGUAAUCCUAGCACUUUGGGAGGAUCAGUUGAGCCCAGGAGUUUGAGACCAGCCUGGGCAACAUAGUGAGACCCCAUCUCUAUGAAAAAAAUACAUAAAAUAGAAACAUGAGAUGUUAAUACAGAGGUAACUGGGUGUGGGGUUAUAUGGAAACUCUGUACUAUUUUGCAACUUUUCUGUAAAUCAAAGUCUAUCCUAAAAUAAAAGUUUCCUUAAAAAUACAGUGCCUGACAGCUACUCAGGAGGCUGAGGCAAGAGAAUUGCUUAAACCCAGGAGGCGGAGGUUGCAGUGAGCCAAGAUCACGCUAUUGCACUCCAGCCUGGGUGACAAGAGCGAAACUUCGUCUCAAAAAAAGAAAAAGAAAAAGAAAAGAAAAAAAAGACAACUACAGCGUCUGGGCUGGGUACAGUGGCUCAUGCCUGUAAUCCCAGCACUUUGGGAGGCUGAGGUGGGAGGAUCACUUGAGCCCUUUGCAAUAUAUCUUUGCAGCUCUUUUCAUCAAGAGACAAAAUCUGUUUCCCAGUGCUUGAAUCUGGACUGGUCUUCUAAAUUGCUUUGGCCAAUAGGAUGCAACAGAAAUAACUAUCCUGGCAUUUCUAGGCUUAGGCCUCAAGAGAUCUUGAACAUUUUCACUUGCUCUCCUGGAACCCUGAUGCUGCCACGUGAACAAGCCCAGGCAACCUUACUGGAAGAAGAGAAGCAUCAACUCCAACACAUGAGUGAGGUUAUCCUAGACCAGCCAAACCCCAUCAACCACAAACAUGAGUAAGCCCUGCAGAGACCCACCGAGCCCAAUCCGGAUCAACCAAACCUCCCAGCCUGCUUUAAACUUGUGAGUAAAUAAUAAAUACAUAUUAUUUCAAGUCACUGAAUUUGGGGGAGGUUUGUUACACAGUGAGAGCUACCUGAUACAAACCCAAAAGACAUCAGAAAAGGUGUUCUACUUCGACCCAAUAAUUUCACUCCAGAAAUGUAUCCUAAAGUAAUUCUCAUGAUCACAUACACAGAUAGAGUCAAUUCUCAUUAUUCAUGGUACUUAUUCUACAAAGUCACCAAGAACACUGAAUUAGCAAAUACUAAACCAUUGCUCCUAGGGGAAAUACAUGGUUAGGUGCCUGCAAGCUUUUGGUCACGACAUUUUAGUCAACCAAUCAAUAUACAAGCUUUUUUUAUGUGUGUUUCUGUUUAAAGACACCCCCCUUAUUAUUAUUAUUAUUUUUGACAGGGUCUCACUCUGUUGUCCAGGCUGGAGUGCAGUGGAGCAAUCACGGAUCACUGCAGCCUCAACCUCUCCCAGUUCAGGUGAUCCUCCCACCUCAACCUCCUGAGUAGCUUGGACUAUAGGCAUGUACCACCAUGCCCAGCUAGUUCUUCUGUUUUGGGUAGAGACGGGGUUUUGCCACAUUGCCCAGGCUGGUCUUAAACUCCUGGGCUCAAGUGAUCCUCUCACCUCGACCUCCCAAAGUCCUAGGAUUACAGGCAUGAGCCAUCACACCUGGCCAAAGCCACCAUAUAAAGUAUUGUUGAUUAAUAUAUAUUGUUGGGCCAGGAGCGAUGGCUCAUGCCUGUAAUCCCAGCACUUUGGGAGGCUGAGACAGGCGCAUCACCUGAGGUUGGGAGUUCGAGAUCAGCCUGAUCAACAUGGAGAAACCCCAUCUCUACUAAAAAUACAAAAUUAGCCGGGUAUGGUGAUGCAUGCCUGUAAUCCCAGCUAAUUGGGAGGCUGAGACAGGAGAAUUGCUUGAACCUGGGAGGCGGAGGUUGCGGUGAGCUGAGAUCACACGAUUGCCCUCCAGCCUGGACAACAAGAGCGAAACUCCAUCUCAAAAAAAAAAAAAAUCUCUAUAUAUAUAUAUGUUCAAUUCAUUCACAUCAAACUCACAGCCAAUACCAUAAUACCUCAUGUUUGAAUGAAGUGUAUCUAACACAUGUAUUUUCCCCAUAAGGCACAUCACAACCUUCUUGUGCUUAGGGAUACUAGAUAGACAGUACUUUAGCACUACACUUGGGGAUCAUUUUAAACACAAAAGUCAUACCAAAAAAGCACACAAACAUUAAAUAUGUGGCAGUAAACAUACAGUGAAAAUGUACACUAUGGUCUGAAAGUUUGUGUCCCACCCAAAUUCAUACACUGAAAUCCUUAGCCAGGCAUGGUGGCUCAUGCCUGCAAUCCCAGCACUUUGGGAGAUCAGGGCAGAAGGAUGGCCUGAACCCAGGAGUUCCAGACCAGCCCUGGCAACAUAGUGAGACCUCGUCUCUACAAAAAAUACAAAUAUUAGCUAGGCAUGAUGGUGCGCAGCUGUAGCCCCAGCUACUUGGGAGGCUGAGGUGGGAGGAUUGCUUGAGCCUGGGAGGUUGAGGCUGCAGUGAGUCGUGAUCGUGCCACCAUACUCCAGCCUGGGUGACAGAUCAAGACCUUGUCUCAAAAAAAAAAACAAAAAAACAAAAAAAAACACCACAAACUUUGGGCUUAUGCAAAUAUGGAGGUUGAGAAGUGCCACAAUCUGCCAUCUGCAAACUGGAGACUCAGAGAGGCCAGUGGUGUAGUUUAGAGGCCUGAGAACCAGAGGCCCGAUGGUGGACAUUCCAGUCCAGGUCUGAAGGCCUGAGAUGCUGGAGCUCCGAGGGCAGGAGAAGACUGACGUCCCAGCUCAAACAGGCAGAGGGAGAGCGCAUCCAACCUUUCUCAGCCUUUUUAUUCUCAGGCCCUCAAUGGAUUGGAUGAUCCAUAUUGGAGAAGGCCACCUGCUUUACUCAGUCCACCGAUUCAAAUGUUAAUCUCUUCUGAACACACUUUCCCAAGCAUACCAGAAAUAGUGUUUAAUUAGAUAUGUGGGCAUCCUGUGGCCCAGUUACAUUGACACAUAAAAUUAACCACCACUGGCCUGGUACAGUGGCUCACGCCUGUAAUCCCAGCACUUUGGGAAGCCAAGGUGGGUGGAUCACCUGAGGUCAGGAGUUCAAGACCAGCCUGGCCACAUGAUGAAACCCCAUCUCUACUAAAAAUACAAAAAUUAGCCGGGUGUGGUAGCACCCGCUUAUAGUCCCAGUUACUCAGGAGGCUGAGGCAGGAGAAUCAUUUGAACCCAGGAGAUGGAGGUUGCAGUGACCUGAGAUUGCACCACUGCACUCUAGUCUGGGUGACAGAGGGAGACUCCGUCUCAAAAAAAAAAAAAAUUAACCAUCAUAAUGGGUAAGUUUAUUUUUCAUAUCUUCCAUUCUGUAUUUUCUAAUUUUUCUGCAAAGUACAUUCAGUCAUUGGAAAUCAGAAAAGUUAUUGUCUUUUUUGUUUUUAAAUUUUUUUGUUGGUUUGAGACAGAGACUCACUCUGUCACCCAGGCUGGAGUGCAGUGGCAUGAUCUCGGCUCACUGCAACCUCUGCUUCCCGGGUUCAAGCAAUUUUCCUGCCUCAGCCUCUCAAGCAGCUGGGACUACAGGCGUGUGACACCAUGGCCAGCUAAUUUUUGUAUUUCUAGCGAAGAUGGAGGGUUUUGCCAGUUUUGCCAUGUUGGCCAGGCUGGUCUCAAACUCCUGACCUCCCGCCUCAGCCUCCCAAAGUGCUGGGAUUACAAGCAUGAGCCACCAUGCCUGGUCAAGUUAUAUCUUUUUUAAGAGAGGAAGGAAUUCUGUAAAUUCAAGGUACUGUAUCAAGAUCCUGAGCCUAAUGUCACCCUUUGACAAGCUCAGUAGAACUCCAGCUGGAAAAAUUUCUAGAUAAUGCUCUCAUGCAGAUUUUUCAAAACUUAAGUAUGAAUCUUGGCACAAAAUGUGCUCGCUCAUCCACAUAAAUCUCAUUACUGAGGCAAUAAACCUUGCAAUUGCUUGUGCUGUCUGCAACGGCAAGAGCUGCAGUAUCCAAAGCCCAGCCUGGCCAAACUCCCCUCACAAAUCAGAUAUUCAACCUCACAGGAAAAGAGAAUCACUGUUAAUUAAUAACAACAAAGGAUUAGGCCAGUGGUUCUGAACCCGGGACAACUCUACUCCCCUCCUCCCCCCAGGGGACAUUUGGCAGUGUCUGGAGACAGUAUUUGGUUGUCGUUGACUAGGAGGUGCUCCUGGCAUCCAGUGGAUAGAUCCCAGGAAUGCUGCUGAACAUCUUACAAUGCAUGGGACAGUCCCCACCCCGCCCCACAGCAAAGAAGUAUUAGUCCCCAAAUGUCAAUAGGAGUACGGUUGAGAAACCCUGGCUCUUCAGACAUAUGGAGCCUUAUUAGAUCUUCCUGGGCUAAGAGCUUUACAGGAAAGAUCUCAUUUAAUCCUCACAGCAAUCCUAGGUAUAGGGCCUAUUAUCAUGCCCAUUUUACAGAAAAGGAAACUGAGGCUAAGAAUCACAUACCAUUUCUAGGCCGGGCACGGUGACUCAUGCCUGUAAUCCCAGCACUUUGGGAGGCCAAGGCAGGUGGAUCACCUGAGGUCGGGAGUUUGAGACCAGCCUGGCCAACAUGGAGAAACCCUGUCUCUACUGAAAAUACAAAAAUUAUCUGGGUGUGGUGGUGGGCACCUGUAAUCCCAACUACUUAGGAGGCUGAGGCAGGAGAAUUUCUUGAACUCAGGAGGCAGAGGUUGCAGUAAACUGAGAUCGCGCCACUGUACUCCAGUGUGGGUGACAGAGCAAGACUCCGUCCCAAAAAAAAAAAAAAAAAAAAAAAUCAUGUGGUAUUUCUGACUUCAGCGUUUGUACUCUGCUCUCCUCCAUGCCCAAAUUGUUGAGUUAUUGCUCUGUUGUUGUUUUGAGGUAAGGUCUCAGUCUGUUACCCAGCCUGGAGUGGAGUGGAGUGGUGCAAUCAAGGCUCACUGCAGCUUCAAACUCAUAGGCUCAAGCAAUCCUCUUGCCUCAGCCUCCUGAGUAGCUUGGAGUACACAACCACAUGCCACCACACCUGGUGAAUUUUUGUAUUUUUUGUAGAGAUGGAGGUCUACGCUGUGUUGGCCAGGCUGGUCUCAAACUCCUAAGCUCAAGCAAUCCUCCCACCUCGGCCUCUCAAAGUGCUGGGAUUACAGGCAUAAGCCACCAGACCUGGCCUGUUGUUUUUAAUUAUGGAAAUUUUCAGGUAUAAACAAAAGUAGAGAAACCAAUUGAACAACCCUGCAUGGUCCCUCUACCCAGCUUCAGAGCUUCAGGCAGAACCUCAAGCACAACAUGCUUCCCUGCAAUCAAGAAUCCCUCAACAAGCCAAGAUGAAUCACACCAGGCCUGGGCCCUUGGGAACACAUGAGUUCCUCCUUCAGGUCGCUGGAAACGCGUUCCCUCUUCCUUUACAGGUUUUGAUCAUAUCCCCCAUCAGCUGUUGCCUUUCCCAGCAGAAAAGUUAGACGUAAGAUCAUCUGUUCUCUCCCUACUUUAAGUGUCACCUCCUUUUCUGAGAGGUGAGAAAAUAGUUUUCUCCCUAAGGAAAGCUGAGAUGGGGAGAACAUAUGCUCAGAAACAGAUAAUCUUGCCACCAAAAUUGUUAGUAGCAGGGAGGAGCUAGUAUUUGCAACGUGGGGUGCAAAGCAGCUCCCUCCAUGUCUGCCUGCAUACAUAAAUCCUUAUGAGAAUAGGUGGCAAUUUCUUUUAUUCAAACAAAUGCUCUCUAGUUUCUGCUUUGUGCGAAGCUCAACUGUGCUCAAUCCUGAAUACAGAUGACAG